rnacentral:lncRNA from 1 species
CGCUCGAUCCGAAGGGGCAACUGGGGCGAUGUCCGCCAGGGCUGCGCUAGCGGAAUGUCUCGCGGUAUUCGCACUACGAUCCGUCAUCCUACAGAAUACGCUGUUAUUCAACACUCCUCUCUUGGAAUAAUCAAAUCGACUGCGACGCCUCAUCAAAGGAAAGUCCUCGGUCGCAGCUCAAGAGUCGAGGGUGUCCCAACUGGCAGGCUACGUACAAUUUACAGUUUCCACCAUACCUAGGAUGCAAUAUAAGUAAAGAUUAUUACACUGUAUAUUAUAUGCUAAAAUGCUAAAAUAAAUUAUGCUAAAAUGAA